CUUCCGAUCAGCGAGGUACAUCUACCUCUUUGAUCGGAAGGGGUUCCUUCCGAUCAACGAGGUACAUCCUUGUUGACCGGAAGGAAACUCUUCCGGUCAACAAGGUAGAUGUACCUCGCUGAUCGGAAG
rnacentral:miRNA from 1 species